GUUUUUCCAAUAGGAAAAGGUUUUACUAACCACGUGAAUUAAUAGGGAAUCGUGUGCAAAUCACGAGCUGUCGCGCAACUGUAAGUAACGCUUAAAGUUUACAUCGGAAUGAUAUCCACUGGGUAACCGGGAAGGAUGAUGUGAAUGUUACAAGUCAGGAGACCUGCCUUUUUUUGUUGACAAUG
rnacentral:ncRNA from 2 species